UUGGGAUAUGGGGACAUGUACCCAGUGACUUGGUCCGGCAUGUUGGUGGGUGCUCUUUGUGCUUUGGCAGGUGUGCUAACUAUUGCUAUGCCAGUCCCUGUUAUUGUCAACAAU
rfam:Xenopus tropicalis strain Nigerian Chr07_contig_3795, whole genome shotgun sequence.